UCGUGCUAGACGGGGAGCUAGCGGUGCCCUGAACCCGCAAUCCGCUACAGCGGGGUUGAAUUCCCGCUCGAGGUUUGGCUGUUUGAGUGACGCUCGCGUAAGCGGCGUUGAUGGUUGGGCCCAGCGCAACAGACCACUUGCGAACCCCGUCAGGUCCGGAAGGAAGCAGCGGUAAGCAUGCUAGUCCGUGUGCCGCUGUGUGUUCUGACCGGAGUUGGCUGCGCGAGGCAGCGCUUGGGCAGCCCUAUCGACAGCGGGUGCACGA
rnacentral:SRP_RNA from 1 species